GACGAACGCUGGCGGCGUGCUUAACACAUGCAAGUCGAACGGAAAGGCCCUGCUUUUGUGGGGUGCUCGAGUGGCGAACGGGUGAGUAACACGUGAGUAACCUCCCCUUGACUUUGGGAUAACUUCAGGAAACUGGGGCUAAUACCGGAUAGGAGCUCCUGCUGCAUGGUGGUGGUUGGAAAGUUUCGGCGGUUGUGGAUGGACUCGCGGCUUAUCAGCUUGUUGGUGGGGUAGUGGCUUACCAAGGCUUUGACGGGUAGCCGGCCUGAGAGGGUGACCGGCAACAUAGGGCUUGGGAUGCGGCCAGGAUUCAACCGGGAGCAAGGGGUGGGGAUUUGACGAAAAGGGGCGGAGCCAGGAUCAAGAAACGCCGGGUCGGGAAUGCGGGCUUUCGGGUUGUAAACAGUUUCCGCGUGUGAAGAAGCGUGGGGACGGUUAAUGGGUAAAGAGGCACGGCUAACUUAGGU
rnacentral:rRNA from 1 species